rnacentral:rRNA from 1 species
AUUGAACGCUAGCGGGAUGCUUUACACAUGCAAGUCGAACGGAGUGGCGGACGGGUGAGUAAUAUAUCGGAACGUGCCCAGAAGCGGGGGAUAACUACUCGAAAGAGUGGUUAAUACCGCACACUAUUGGAGCGGCCGAUAUCGGAUUGGCUAGUUGGUGGGGUAAAGGAUCACCAAGGCAACGAUCCGUAUCUGGGUUGAGAGGACGACCAGCCAACCUGGAACUGAGACACGGCCCAGACUCCUACGGGAGGCAGCAGUGGGGAAUUUUGGACAAUGGGGGAAACCCUGAUCCAGCCAUCCCGCGUGUAUGAUGAAGGCCUUCGGGUUGUAAAGUACUUUUGGCCAGGAAGCGGUAUCUGCAGAAUAAGCACCGGCUAACUACGUGCCAGCAGCCGCGGUAAUAC